GGAAGACUUAGUCAGUUCCAGAUCCUCUUCUGGGGAAGAAAGCAGACUUUGGAAGGCAGCUAUUUCAUAUCACUCAGCUUCAACAGCCCCAGCCAUCCUUCAUCUGAACAAUUUUAAAAUCUCCUUUGCUGGAAUUCUCCAACACCAUCAAAGACCCAUCUCCAUUCCAGACCACAUUUGGUGAAUUGUGUUCAGCCAUGGGCAUUGACUUUUAAGAAGGAUACUAAUGAGCUGAAGAAUAUCCAGAGGAAGGUGACCAAGAUGGCUUUGAAAUCAUUCAAUGUGAGGACUGGCUUAAGGAACUAAAGAUUUUUAGCCUGGAGAAGAGAAGACUUAGGAAAGAGAGUUCUGGAAGAGGACCAAUGACAUCAGGAGGGU